CCUUGGGGAGGGGCCAGCUGCUGUGUUCAGUCCGCCAUUGCAAACACGAAGCUCUUCCAGAAACGCCCUCACAGACACCCCGGAAGUCACGUACCCACUCUGUAGGUGCCCCGGGGCACAGGCAAGCGGACGAGCCAGUUAUCCCUCAGAGCUCCUGCUGCCUCGCCCGCUUUCUCUCGGAAACGUGAAGUGUGGCCUCAGCUGAAAGUGAGGUGGGCCUCAUUCAAUCAGUUGAAUUCUUCAAGAGAGAAAAACUGAAGUCCCUUAGAAGGAAAGAGUUCUGCCUUCAGACUGUCUUUGAACUUAAGACUGUAGCGUCGACUCCUGCCGGAAUUUCCAGCCUGCUGGCCAGCUCUGCAGAUUCACACUUGCCAGCCUCCACAAUCGUGUGAGCCAAUUCCUUAACUUCUCUUUCUCCGUGUAUCCCUUUGGUGCUGCCUCUCUGGGGAGCCCUGACUAAUAUGCAUGCAGAUGAUACGGUGCCUGGCAUUCUGAAUACAUGCACUAAAUCCACCACUUUUCCCCAUUUAUAGAUUUGGAUUAACACACUAACUUACUCAUAUCUGCAAGUAUAAAUAAAAAAAAUUGCUGGUGCCAAUUUCAAAGUUUUGCCAUGAGGUAGCUUGAAGGAAUGACAUUUUAAGGAAUUCGCUCAAGGCAGCUGAGGCGGAGGAACCCUAAGGGCUCAUUGAGAUCAUGGAUUUGCCCUUCUAUGCAUUGAUGGAGCACCUGCUGCCCACAGCGUCUGUAUUUGGUGCUGGGAUGCUGAGGACACUGAGAUCUUCAAACAGAGGCUGCCACUCUAAGCAAACAGAUCCCGAGCCCUGGACUCUGAAGCUUGGGCCCAGUUCUCCUUUUCUCCGGGUUUCAGAUCCCACUGUGAAGUGAGGGGGCCCUUCUGAUUCAGGACCCGGGGAAGCCAGGGGCAUGAGCAUCGGUGCCUCUUCUCUAUUUCAAGGACCCUUCUGGGUGUAAAGUUCUCUGAGAUGCCUUACAUGGAUUCCCACCACUGCAAGAUAACCAUCGUGUGUAAAGUGUUAUGACCAGCAGAGCGUAAUUGAAGUGCAUUCCAGAGGGAAAGACAGCGGCUCAGGUAGGCCUUGCCAGGCGUUUUGGGGUUUCACCCAUGGGAUGCUGCUUGUUUGCUGAUACCACUAAGCAAAUGAACAGUUGCAUUCUCUGAGAGGGAAACAGUCCAGCCAAAAUGGUGCAUGGCUCACCCAGGAUUCACGCCACACCCAGUGUCACCCCAGCAGCGGGGGGCCUGGGAACCACUUCUGUGUAUGAGGCUUCAGGCUUGACCAAAUCUGACUGGCUGGCUGCCGGAGACACUGCUACCCAUCGGCCCUUAAUAAAUGGCCUCAUUUGAUCAUCAUGUGAUCUUCAGAAGCUGGGCUUGAUUAUCCUUGCCAAACAAAAUGCUGAAACCAAAAAUCUGAAAGGAAAUCAAAGGUUUCGCCAUCAUGUAAACCCUUGGGCGACAGAGUCUACCUGUCUCCCCCUGAUAUUGUUCUAUGAGAUUUCGAUGCUAUCUUCAUUGCCAGCAGCCCUGACAAAGAUGCACUGCAGACGGAUAGCCUCUCAGGUUUUUAUGCUCUCUUCAUGCCCCCUCAUGGAAGCUUCGCACACACUCUUGGUUCUGUCGCAUGGUUCCCUUUUGACAUCGAACCUGCUUACCUCAGAGCCUGCUGCGGACUGAGUUGUCUUCUCCAAAAUCCAUUUGUGGAGGCCCUCAUCCCCAGUGGGAGAGUAUUUGGAGAUGAAGCAUUUGGAGGUGAUUAAGCUUAGAUGAGCUCAGAGUGGAGCCUCAGGAUGGCAUCGAUGCCCUGGUAAAGAGGGACACUGAGACCUGGCCCUCCCUUGCUCUCCACCGUGUGAGGACACAAUGAGAUGGUGGCCACCUACAAGCCAGGAACUGAACCCUACGGGGCCUUGACACUGGCCGUUCCAGCCUCCAGAAUGGCUAGGAAUAAAUGUCUGCUCUUUAAGUCACUGGGCGGUGGAGCUUUGUUAUGGCAGCACCAGGGGCUGGUUGAGAGCCUUUGCAUGGCUCUUGUUCCACCUGGAAUGAGAUUUCUAACUCUUGGCUACCUCACCCCCUUACCUCAUUGUUUCAUGUUGCAACCACCCACCCACUCCCCAUGUCUCUGGCAUUCUCAUUUAUUUUUUCUUUGAUUUCAUAGAACACAUCACAAAGCCAUUUGCUCAUGCAUGAUGUUUAUUGUCUAUUUUCUAUCUCCCUGCUAGAGGGUAAGAUGCUCAAGAACACUGCUCUGUCUGCCUCCCUGGACCCAGAAAAUGCUUGGCGUGUGGUAGAACUUAGAUAUAUUUGUGUUGAAUAAAUUAAUUGAAGGGG
rnacentral:lncRNA from 1 species